AGAUUGAACGCUGGCGGCAUGCCUUACACAUGCAAGUCGAACGGCAGCACGGGGGGCAACCCUGGUGGCGAGUGGCGAACGGGUGAGUAAUACAUCGGAACGUAUCCUGUAGCGGGGGAUAACCUCUCGAAAGAGAGGCUAAUACCGCAUACGACCUACGGGUGAAAGAGGGGGAUCGCAAGACCUCUCACUAUUGGAGCGGCCGAUGUCGGAUUAGCUAGUUGGUAGGGUAAAAGCCUACCAAGGCUACGAUCCGUAGCUGGUCUGAGAGGACGACCAGCCACACUGGAACUGAGACACGGUCCAGACUCCUACGGGAGGCAGCAGUGGGAAUUUGGACAAUGGGCGCAAGCCUGAUCCAGCCAUGCCGCGUGAGUGAAGAAGGCCUUCGGUGUAAGCUCUUCGUCGGAAGAAAGGUCGCGCUAACACCGCGACUCAUGACGGUACCGGCGAUAAGAAGCGACCGGACCUAACUACGUCGCCACGCAGCCGCGUAA
rnacentral:rRNA from 1 species